rfam:Strongylocentrotus purpuratus Contig129205_fixed, whole genome shotgun sequence.
GCGCGAUAGCUCAGUCGAUAGAGCAGUGGUCUCGUAAACCGGUGACCCGGGUUCGAAUCCAAGUCGAUGCG